rnacentral:rRNA from 1 species
AGCAGCCGCGGUAAUUCCAGCUCCAAUAGCGUAUAUUAAAGUUGUUGCAGUUAAAAAGCUCGUAGUUGAAUUUCGGAAUCUGUCCGUUGGUCGGGCUUCACUGUCUGUACUGGUGUGAUGGGUUCUUACCUUCUGAAUAACCAGCAUGCCAUUCACUUGGUGCGCUGGGGAAGCAGGACUAUUACCUUGAAAAAUUAGAGUGCUCAAAGCAGGCUAGUGCCUGAAUACAUUAGCAUGGAAUAAUAAAAUAGGACGGCAUGGUUCUAUUUUGUGGUUUCUAGGAUCACCGUAAUGAUUAAUAGGGAUAGUUGGGGGCAUUAGUAUUCAAUUGUCAGAGGUGAAAUUCUUGGAUUUAUUGAAGACUAACUUCUGCGAAAGCAUUUGCCAAGGAUGUUUUCAUUAGUCAAGAACGAAAGUUAGGGGAUCGAAGACGAUCAGAUACCGUCGUAGUCUUAACCAUAAACUAUGCCGACUAGGGAUCGGACGAUGUUAAUUUUAAUGUAACUUCGG